rnacentral:piRNA from 1 species
UAGGGACCGGGUGUCUGAUUUGUGAGA